GGUUAAGCGACUAAGCGUACACGGUGGAUGCCCUGGCAGUCAGAGGCGAUGAAGGACGUGCUAAUCUGCGAAAAGCGUCGGUAAGGUGAUAUGAACCGUUAUAGCCGGCGAUGUCCGAAUGGGGAAACCCAGUGCAAUUCGUUGCACUAUCGUUAACUGAAUACAUAGGUUAACGAGGCGAACCGGGGGAACUGAAACAUCUAAGUACCCCGAGGAAAAGAAAUCAACCGAGAUUCCCCCAGUAGCGGCGAGCGAACGGGGAGCAGCCCGGAGUCUGAAUCAGCUUGUGUGUUAGUGGAAGCGUCUGGAAAGUCGCAGGGUACAGGGUGAUACUCCCGUACACUAAAACAUACAGGCUGUGAACUCGAAGAGUAGGGCGGGACACGUGGUAUCCUGUCUGAAUAUGGGGGGACCAUCCUCCAAGGCUAAAUACUCCUGACUGACCGAUAGUGAACCAGUACCGUGAGGGAAAGGCGAAAAGAACCCCGGCGAGGGGAGUGAAAAAGAACCUGAAACCGUGUACGUACAAGCAGUAGGAGCCCACUUGUUGGGUGACUGCGUACCUUUUGUAUAAUGGGUCAGCGACUUAUAUUCUGUAGCAAGGUUAACCGUAUAGGGGAGCCGCAGGGAAACCGAGUCUUAACUGGGCGUUAAGUUGCAGGGUAUAGACCCGAAACCCGGUGAUCUAGCCAUGGGCAGGUUGAAGGUUGGGUAACACUAACUGGAGGACCGAACCGACUAAUGUUGAAAAAUUAGCGGAUGACUUGUGGCUGGGGGUGAAAGGCCAAUCAAACCGGGAGAUAGCUGGUUCUCCCCGAAAGCUAUUUAGGUAGCGCCUCGUGAAUUCAUCUUCGGGGGUAGAGCACUGUUUCGGCUAGGGGGUCAUCCCGACUUACCAACCCGAUGCAAACUACGAAUACCGAAGAAUGUUAUCACGGGAGACACACGGCGGGUGCUAACGUCCGUCGUGAAGAGGGAAACAACCCAGACCGCCAGCUAAGGUCCCAAAGUCAUGGUUAAGUGGGAAACGAUGUGGGAAGGCCCAGACAGCCAGGAUGUUGGCUUAGAAGCAGCCAUCAUUUAAAGAAAGCGUAAUAGCUCACUGGUCGAGUCGGCCUGCGCGGAAGAUGUAACGGGGCUAAACCAUGCACCGAAGCUGCGGCAGCGACACUAUGUGUUGUUGGGUAGGGGAGCGUUCUGUAAGCCGUUGAAGGUGGCCUGUGAGGGUUGCUGGAGGUAUCAGAAGUGCGAAUGCUGACAUAAGUAACGAUAAUGCGGGUGAAAAACCCGCACGCCGGAAGACCAAGGGUUCCUGUCCAACGUUAAUCGGGGCAGGGUGAGUCGACCCCUAAGGCGAGGCCGAAAGGCGUAGUCGAUGGGAAACAGGUUAAUAUUCCUGUACUUGGUGUUACUGCGAAGGGGGGACGGAGAAGGCUAUGUUGGCCGGGCGACGGUUGUCCCGGUUUAAGCAUGUAGGCGGAUGUUCCAGGUAAAUCCGGAACGUCACUAACGCUGAGGUGUGAUGACGAGGCACUACGGUGCUGAAGUGACAAAUGCCCUGCUUCCAGGAAAAGCCUCUAAGCAUCAGGUAACAUCAAAUCGUACCCCAAACCGACACAGGUGGUCAGGUAGAGAAUACCAAGGCGCUUGAGAGAACUCGGGUGAAGGAACUAGGCAAAAUGGUGCCGUAACUUCGGGAGAAGGCACGCUGAUGGUAAGUGAAGUGACUUGCUCAUGGAGCUGAAAUCAGUCGAAGAUACCAGCUGGCUGCAACUGUUUAUUAAAAACACAGCACUGUGCAAACACGAAAGUGGACGUAUACGGUGUGACGCCUGCCCGGUGCCGGAAGGUUAAUUGAUGGGGUUAUCCUCGCGGAGAAGCUCUUGAUCGAAGCCCCGGUAAACGGCGGCCGUAACUAUAACGGUCCUAAGGUAGCGAAAUUCCUUGUCGGGUAAGUUCCGACCUGCACGAAUGGCGUAAUGAUGGCCAGGCUGUCUCCACCCGAGACUCAGUGAAAUUGAACUCGCUGUGAAGAUGCAGUGUACCCGCGGCAAGACGGAAAGACCCCGUGAACCUUUACUAUAGCUUGACACUGAACACUGGUCCUUGAUGUGUAGGAUAGGUGGGAGGCUUUGAAGUGUGGACGCCAGUCUGCAUGGAGCCAUCCUUGAAAUACCACCCUUUAAUGGCUGGUGUUCUAACGUGGGCCCCUAAUCGGGGUUGCGGACAGUGUCUGGUGGGUAGUUUGACUGGGGCGGUCUCCUCCUAAAGAGUAACGGAGGAGCACGAAGGUCAGCUAAUCCUGGUCGGACAUCAGGAGGUUAGUGCAAUGGCAUAAGCUGGCUUGACUGCGAGCGUGACGGCGCGAGCAGGUGCGAAAGCAGGUCAUAGUGAUCCGGUGGUUCUGAAUGGAAGGGCCAUCGCUCAACGGAUAAAAGGUACUCCGGGGAUAACAGGCUGAUACCGCCCAAGAGUUCAUAUCGACGGCGGUGUUUGGCACCUCGAUGUCGGCUCAUCACAUCCUGGGGCUGAAGUAGGUCCCAAGGGUAUGGCUGUUCGCCAUUUAAAGUGGUACGCGAGCUGGGUUUAGAACGUCGUGAGACAGUUCGGUCCCUAUCUGCCGUGGGCGCUGGAGAAUUGAGGGGGGCUGCUCCUAGUACGAGAGGACCGGAGUGGACGCAUCACUGGUGUUCGGGUUGUCAUGCCAAUGGCAUUGCCCGGUAGCUAAAUGCGGAAGAGAUAAGUGCUGAAAGCAUCUAAGCACGAAACUUGCCCCGAGAUGAGUUCUCCCUGACUCCUUGAGGGUCCUGAAGGAACGUUGAAGACGACGACGUUGAUAGGCCGGGUGUGUAAGCGCAGCGAUGCGUUGAGCUAACCGGUACUAAUGAACCGUGAGGCUUAACCUU
rnacentral:rRNA from 1 species